rnacentral:rRNA from 1 species
AUUGAACGCUGGCGGCAUGCUUUACACAUGCAAGUCGAACGGCAGCGCGGGCUUCGGCCUGGCGGCGAGUGGCGAACGGGUGAGUAAUAUAUCGGAACGUACCCAAGAGUGGGGGAUAACGUAGCGAAAGUUACGCUAAUACCGCAUACGAUCUAAGGAUGAAAGCAGGGGAUCGCAAGACCUUGUGCUCCUGAGCAGCC